UGACAUCAUUGCCAAAUGAAUUGGGCAACCUCACAUCUUUGACUUCCUUAAGUUUAAGUGGGUGCUCGAACUUGACAUCAUUACCAAAUGAAUUGGACAACUUCACAUCUUUGACUUCCUUAAGUUUAAGUUGGUGCUUGAUCUUGACAUCAUUGCCAAAUGAAUUGCGCAAAAGAAAAUUCUACUACCUAUGGCAUGUUGGAAGGAUGAACCUUUGUUGAUACGGUAGUUGAUGAGGUUACGCAGCAUGGUGUUUGCUGCAUCUGGACCCAGCUUACUUGCCAACCAUGCAAGGACCAUGUUUUUACAAUCAACUACUACAUGUUGUUUACUUGACGUUUACAUAAUUUCAAGAGGAUUCAAUAGGAGUACACUAAUUCAACGAUAAUAUCAUUGUAAAAUACUUGAAAAGACAAAAGGUGGUAUGUAUGCAAAUAUUGAGGAGUUCAAUUCACGAGAUUUUAAGGGUUGAUACAAAUACGUGGACAAUACAAAAAAAAAAAAAAAAAAAAAAAAAAAAAAAUGCAUGAAUGUAGCUUUAUAUUAUAUGUUGAUCCUCAAAAACCUUCAUUAUGGAUAUAUAACUUGAGAACCACUUAGAUUUUAAGCAAAACACGUUCUUAGUGUAAUUGGUUGGAGGAAGAAGGAAAUUAUGACUGAGGUGUUGACAUGCUGGAAUAAGGAACAAUCGCACAAGGAAGCAGAGGUCAGAACCUCGUGGUACAGCACUGCCAUUCAAUUGAUCUGUAUCAUCCAUAAGUUGCCCAGCCAUUUGAAUGGCUAUGUCCAUGACCCGUGAUUGAAAAAUAGGUUCUUCAGUGCACUCCUUUAAAGGGUCCACCGAAUGGCAUGCAUCCAAUAACUUAGUAGUAUUUAUCAUCUCUUCCAGUUGGCUAACUUUGGUAAUUGGACAUAAACCACUGGUAAGAUUGGUAGAUUGAGUAGUACAAAGAUUUCCCAAAGAUGUGUUGGCUCCCAAACUAGCCAUAAGAUUUUGGGUGUGUGAAAAGUAAUAUUCAGCUUCUGUAACAUUGAGCCCAAGAUUGCCCGAGUUUAGGCUGUAUUGACCCAGAGAGACUUGAAAAAGGCUCUCAAGUUGUGGGCAACAGAUGACACUUCCAACAUAGAGCACUAGUGGAGUUGAACAAUUUCUAGCAGUUCAAAUAAGAGUCCCUUCUAAUGUUGAAAAAUUAAAAGGACAAAAAUCUAUGGAAUAAAUCCAAAAAAUACUCGGA